CCUCAGAAUGGUUGGAAAUCAUUCACAGAGUGUAAAGGCAUAAGGGUGCUUGACUGCGAGACCUACAAGUCGAGCAGGGUCGAAAGACGGACUUAGUGAUCCGGUGGUUCCGCAUGGAAGGGCCAUCGCUCAACGGAUAAAAGCUACCCCGGGGAUAACAGGCUUAUCUCCCCAACGAGUUCACAUCGACGGGGAGGUUUGGUCACCUCGAUGUCGGCUCAUCGCAUCCUGGGGCUGUAGUCGGUCCCAAGGGUUGGGCUGUUCGCCCAUUAAAGCGGUACGCGAGCUGGGUUCAGAACGUCGUGAGACAGUUCGGUCCCUAUCCGUCGUGGGCGUAGGAAAUUUGAGAGGCGCUGUCCUUAGUACGAGAGGACCGGGAUGGACAUACCACU
rnacentral:rRNA from 1 species